AGAACGAACGCUGGCGGCAUGCCUAAUACAUGCAAGUCGAACGAAUGCCCUUCGGGGUGUUAGUGGCGCACGGGUGCGUAACGCGUGGGAAUCUGCCCUUGGGUUCGGAAUAACAGUUAGAAAUGACUGCUAAUACCGGAUGAUGACGUAAGUCCAAAGAUUUAUCGCCCAGGGAUGAGCCCGCGUAGGAUUAGCUAGUUGGGUGGGGUAAAGGCCUACCGAAGGCGACGAUCCUUAGCUGGUCUGAGAGGAUGAUCAGCCACACUGGGGACUGAGACACGGCCCAG
rnacentral:rRNA from 1 species